rnacentral:ncRNA from 1 species
GAUAUUGUUCGUAGUGUAGCGAACAUGAUAAUCAAAAAAAAUACACGGUUAAGA